GAUGAGCGCUGGCGGCGUGCCUAAUACAUGCAAGUCGAGCGAACAGACGAGGAGCUUGCUCCUUUGACGUUAGCGGCGGACGGGUGAGUAACACGUGGAUAACCUACCUAUAAGACUGGGAUAACUUCGGGAAACCGGAGCUAAUACCGGAUAACAUGUUGAACCGCAUGGUUCAACAGUGAAAGACGGUCUUGCUGUCACUUAUAGAUGGAUCCGCGCCGCAUUAGCUAGUUGGUAAGGUAACGGCUUACCAAGGCAACGAUGCGUAGCCGACCUGAGAGGGUGAUCGGCCACACUGGAACUGAGACACGGUCCAGACUCCUACGGGAGGCAGCAGUAGGGAAUCUUCCGCAAUGGGCGAAAGCCUGACGGAGCAACGCCGCGUGAGUGAAGAAGGUCUUCGGAUCGUAAAACUCUGUUAUUAGGGAAGAACAAAUGUGUAAGUAACUAUGCACGUCUUGACGGUACCUAAUCAGAAAGCCACGGCUAACUACGUG
rnacentral:rRNA from 1 species